rnacentral:rRNA from 1 species
CCUACGGGGGGCAGCAGUGAGGAAUAUUGGUCAAUGGGCGCAAGCCUGAACCAGCCAUCCCGCGUGAAGGAAGAAGGCGCUAUGCGUCGUAAACUUCUUUUCCGGAGGAAUAAAAUCCUGAACGUGUUCGGGACUGAAGGUACUCCGGGAAUAAGCAUCGGCUAACUCCGUGCCAGCAGCCGCGGUAAUACGGAGGAUGCAAGCGUUAUCCGGAUUCAUUGGGUUUAAAGGGUGCGUAGGCGGAUUGAUAAGUCAGUGGUGAAAACCUGCAGCUUAACUGUAGACGUGCCAUUGAUACUGUUAGUCUUGAGUAUGGUCAAGGUAGGCGGAAUGUGUAAUGUAGCGGUGAAAUGCUUAGAUAUUACACAGAACACCAAUUGCGAAGGCAGCUUACUGGGCCAUUACUGACGCUGAUGCACGAAAGCGUGGGGAGCGAACAGGAUUAGAUACCCCGGUAGUC